UGGAAUUGUAAAAGAGAUUGGUUAGUUGAUGUAAGGUUGGCGAUAAUGACGGGGAAGAAGAUAUAAUUGUGCAAAGGAAUAGUUUUCACUUUAAAUGGGAUGGCACAGUCACAGACAUGGGGAUAUUCUACCUACAUUGUUGUCCAUAAAAGGCAAGUUCUUUGCAGUCAAUAUCUUGCCUUCUUCUUAUAUCCUUUAGUUUCCUUUCCUUUUGUGAAAAUAUUUUGUUGCCAUGAUAAAAAUGAAUGAAAAAUGAAUGAAUGAGCAUUAGAAUGAUUUUACCCAAUUGGAUUAAACCAUUAGAUUUGUAUAAUGGAAUUUCCUAUGGGCAUCUGCUUUAAUGUAAAUCAGGGAAUUAAGGAAGGGAUUAGGCUGUAGUCACAGAAUCAGAGUCAUAUAUUUGGGAAGGCUUUUGGACUCCAGAUAACAGUUUUCAGCGCAGGCAUAUCCAAGAAAUAAAAAGAUUUGAGUGUGCUUGCUGCUGACAACCUUGUUGUCUCUUUUGACCAAUAGCAGAUGAAGGUAAAAUCACACAAAGCUACCCAAGAGCGGAUUUUUUUUUCUUGCUUCAUUGGUGAUUGGGCUGCGAUUGGGGUUUUAACUUGAGGUUUCAGAGCCCGGAAGACGACUCUUUACCAUGAUUGAGCCAAGCUUAUUGGUUCCUUAUCAAUUUGCAGGCUCUAAGUCUCUCGACUUUAUAAUGGACACACCAUCUGGUGAUCAUUUGAUCCAUACAUGUCACUAUUGAAGACUGCUGGUGUUUUUAUCCUUGUGGCUUUUCCCAGUGAAGUUAAAAUCAUUCCUGGGAAACCUUGAUCCGUGUAGUUUACUCUUGCAAUUUUCAAACAUGAUAGUUAUUCAUACCCCUUGUUAGAA
rnacentral:misc_RNA from 1 species